GACGAACGCUGGCGGCGUGCUUAACACAUGCAAGUCGAACGCUGAAGCUCAGCUUUUGUUGGGUGGAUGAGUGGCGAACGGGUGAGUAACACGUGAGUAACCUGCCCCCUUCUUUGGGAUAACGCCCGGAAACGGGUGCUAAUACUGGAUAUUCACUGGUCUUCGCAUGGGGGUUGGUGGAAAGGGUUUUUCUGGUGGGGGAUGGGCUCGCGGCCUAUCAGCUUGUUGGUGGGGUGAUGGCCUACCAAGGCUUUGACGGGUAGCCGGCCUGAGAGGGUGACCGGUCACAUUGGGACUGAGAUACGGCCCAGACUCCUACGGGAGGCAGCAGUGGGGAAUAUUGCACAAUGGGCGCAAGCCUGAUGCAGCGAGGCCGCGUGAGGGAUGGAGGCCUUCGGGUUGUGAACCUCUUUCGCUCAUGGUCAAGCCGCAACAAUGGUUGUGGUGAGGGUAGUGGGUAAAGAAGCGCCGGCUAACUACGUG
rnacentral:rRNA from 1 species